AACAUAGACAUUUCGUUCGCUGGUUGGAUAGUUCGUAAAGAUUAUUUACAAGGUGACCAUUAAUUUGUCCCAAACAAUUUGUUUGGAUGAUUUUGACAAGGAGUACUUUGUAUGGAAUUAUAAAUAAAUACGAUAUCGUAGACAAAGAGUCCAUCAUGUUAUCUUUACAACUAUUCGUAGUCUUGCUACCAGCGUUGGUUUUGGCAUCUGAGGCCAGUUGGCUUGACAGUUUAAUGUCUGAAGAUGCAGAGAACCACGCAGAUAUCCUACAUCAACUAAAGCGACAUCUGUCUAAUAUGGAAAUUCGGGGAUAUAGAGGUCGAGGAAGAGGACCCAAGCAGGGAUUUGUGAAGCUUUGUUUAAGUUACGUAUGUCGAGCAUUGAAAACGACGGCAAAUGAAGCCGACAAAGACGCCGAUGCCAAAAAAGGACGACGUGCUGGUCCCAAAAUAGACUUUGAAAAAUAUAGCGAUUUAAGAGACUCUCUUAAACUUUCGUGUGAGGAAUUUCAAGAUUAUUUAUAUGAAGAAAAGAAGGCACGACCGACUAGACGACCCACAUAUAAGUCUAGAUCCAGAAAAUUUAAGACGACUACUACUACAGUGUCACCAGCUAAACGUAACAAUCUGAAUUCUUACGAAAAACGAGAACUGUUAAAUGUAUUAUCUUUGUUACAGGAGGCUCUAUAAAUUUAUGUUAUGCCCCCCUCACAAUCCAUUUAAAUAAAUACUUCGAUAAUA